rnacentral:misc_RNA from 1 species
GAUGAAGAACGCAGCGAAAUGCGAUAAGUAAUGUGAAUUGCAGAAUUCAGUGAAUCAUCGAAUCUUUGAACGCACAUUGCGCCCCUUGGUAUUCCGAGGGGCAUGCCUGUUCGAGCGUCAUUAUAACCCUCAAGCUCAGCUUGGUGUUGGGGCCUGCUGCAGUGGCAGCCCUUAAAAUCAGUGGCGGCGCCAUCUGGCUCUAAGCGUAGUAAUUCUUCUCGCUAUGGAGUCCUGGUGGAUGCUUGCCAUCAACCCCCAAUUUUUCUAUGGUUGACCUCGGAUCAGGUAGGGAUACCCGCUGAACUUAAGCAUAUCCAAUAAGCGGAGGA